UACAGAGGUCUCAAGCGUUGUUCGGAUUCAUUGGGCGUAAAGGGUGCGUAGGCGGCGCGGUAAGUCGGGGUGUGAAAUCUCGGAGCUUAACUCCGAAACUGCAUUCGAUACUGCCGUGCUUGAGGACUGGAGAGGAGACUGGAAUUUACGGUGUAGCGGUGAAAUGCGUAGAUAUCGUAAGGAAGACCAGUGGCGAAGGCGGGGUCUCUGGACAGUUCCUGACGCUGAGGCACGAAGGCCAGGGGGAGCAAAACGGGG
rnacentral:rRNA from 1 species